UACGGGGGGGGGCAAGCGUUGUUCGGAAUUACUGGGCGUAAAGGGCUCGUAGGCGGCCAACUAAGUCGGACGUGAAAUCCCCAGGCUCAACCUGGGAACUGCGUCUGAUACUGGAUGGCUUGAAUCCGGGAGAGGGAUGCAGAAUUCCAGGUGUAGCGGUGAAAUGCGUAGAUAUCUGGAGGAAUACCGGUGGCGAAGGCGGCAUCCUGGACCGACACUGACGCUGAGGAGCGAAAGCCAGGGGAGCAAACGGG
rnacentral:rRNA from 1 species